rnacentral:rRNA from 1 species
AACAGGAUUCCCUUAGUAAUGGCGAAUGAACAGGGAUGAGCUCAGCAUGGAAAUCGGGGUCUCCCGACCUUGAAUUGUAGUCUGUAGAUGUACUGCCAACGGAGGCGCAGAUGUAAGCCUCUUGGAAAAGAGCAUCAACGAGGGUGAGAGUCCCGUUUGUCAUCUGCAGUCCCCCGUGCACGGUGUGCCUUCUAAGAGUCACGUUCCUCGGGAUUGGAGCGCAAAGUGGGUGGUAAAUUUCAUCUAAAGCUAAAUAUUGGUUCGAGACCGAUAGCAAACAAGUACCAUGAGGGAAAGGUGAAAAGGACUUUGAAAAGAGAGUUAAAAGUGCCUGAAAUUGCUGAAAGGGAAGCGAAUGGAACCAGUGUUCUUGAUGAGAUUGUUGCGUACUCUGGUGAUUGCUGGGUGUUCCACCGCAAGGGGGGCAUCUAGUUUUGAGCUAGAUGUGCGUGGUGUUUCUUGUCUUGUGUGUCACCGUCGGUGCACGAGCGAGUAAACCUCCAGGGGGCUGGUAACUCGACCACGGUUGAGUGAAUACCUUUGGCAGUACUCAUUUGUGUAUCGAUCCCUGCGUGUCUGGUUGCAGUGUUUGGGUCGCCUGGAAACUCCUGAAGGGCUUGUCCUCGAAGGAGUCCUUUUGGGCGCCCUGAGCAUCUCCCUGACACAAAGACGAU